GACAGAGGGGGCAAGCGUUGCUCGGAAUUACUGGGCGUAAAGGGCGCGUAGGCGGGAUGGCAAGUCGGUCGUGAAAGCCUUCGGCUCAACCGAAGAACGUCGGCCGAUACUGCCGUUCUUGGGGGAUGCAGAGGAGACUGGAAUUCUUGGUGUAGCGGUGAAAUGCGUAGAUAUCAAGAGGAACACCUGCGGCGAAGGCGGGUUGCUGGGCCGACACUGACGCUGAGGCGCGAAAGCGUGGGGAGCAAACAGG
rnacentral:rRNA from 1 species